UACGUAGGGUGCAAGCGUUAAUCGGAAUUACUGGGCGUAAAGCGUGCGCAGGCGGUUAUGCAAGACAGAUGUGAAAUCCCCGGGCUCAACCUGGGAAUGGCAUUUGGGACUGCAAGGCUUGAGUGCGGCAGAGGAGACUGGAAUUCCUGGUGUAGCAGUGAAAUGCGUAGAUAUCAGGAGGAAUACCGAUGGCGAAGGCAGGUCUCUGGGCUGACACUGACGCUCAUGCACGAAAGCGUGGGGAGCAAACAGG
rnacentral:rRNA from 1 species